UACGAAGGGGGCUAGCGUUGUUCGGAAUUACUGGGCGUAAAGCGCACGUAGGCGGGUAUUUAAGUCAGGGGUGAAAUCCCAGAGCUCAACUCUGGAACUGCCUUUGAUACUGGGUACCUAGAGUAUGGAAGAGGUGAGUGGAAUUCCGAGUGUAGAGGUGAAAUUCGUAGAUAUUCGGAGGAACACCAGUGGCGAAGGCGGCUCACUGGUCCAUUACUGACGCUGAGACGCGAAAGCGUGGGGAGCAAACAGG
rnacentral:rRNA from 1 species